rnacentral:rRNA from 1 species
GACGAACGCUGGCGGCGUGCUUAACACAUGCAAGUCGAACGGCAAGGCCCUGCUUUUGUGGGGUGCUCGAGUGGCGAACGGGUGAGUAACACGUGAGUAACCUGCCCUUGACUUUGGGAUAACUUCAGGAAACUGGGGCUAAUACCGGAUAGGAGCUCCUGCUGCAUGGUGGGGGUUGGAAAGUUUCGGCGGUUGGGGAUGGACUCGCGGCUUAUCAGCUUGUUGGUGGGGUAGUGGCUUACCAAGGGUUUGACGGGUAGCCGGCCUGAGAGGGUGACCGGCCACAUUGGGACUGAGGUACGGCCCAGACGCCUACGGGAGGCAGCAGGGGGGAAUAUGGCACAAUGGGCGGAAGCCUGAUGCAGCAACGCCGCGUGCGGGAUGACGGCCUUCGGGUUGUAAACCGCUUUCGCCUGUGACGAAGCGUGAGUGACGGUAAUGGGUAAAGAAGCACCGGCUAACUACGUG